UCCUGGUUAUAAAUCAAAAUUAAAUUUACCAGAGUACUAUGAAUAUUAUAAAAUUUAAAACUCAAAGGACUUGGCGGUGUUUUAGACCACUUAGGGGAACCUGUCCCAUAAUCGAUAAUCCGCGUUACACCUAACCUUUUUUUGCUUUCAGCUUGUAUAUCGUUGUCGUCAGGUAACUUUUUAGAAAUUAGAAGUUAGCUAAAAAUAGUGAGUUUAAACGUCAAAUCAAGGUGCAGCUAAUAGAAAGGUGAGGAUGGGUUACAAUUAUUUUAAUUAUAAUUACAGAAAAUCAUAAGAAUUAAUGAUAAUGAAGGAGGACUUAAAAGUAAAUUAGACUAUAUAAAUAAUUUGAAUAAGGCUCUGAAAUGUGCACACAUCGCCCGUCGCUCUUGUUGGAAAAUAAGAUAAGUCGUAACAUAGUAGGGGUAAUGGAAAUUGCCCCUAAACU
rnacentral:rRNA from 1 species